AUUGAACGCUGGCGGCAUGCCUAACACAUGCAAGUCGAACGGAGGGCUUCGGCCCUCAGUGGCGGACGGGUGAGUAACGCGUAGGGAUCUGCCCCGCAGUGGGGGACAACCUGGGGAAACUCAGGCUAAUACCGCAUACGCUCCAUGGAGGAAAGCGGGGGGACCUUCGGGCCUCGCGCUGCGGGAUGAACCUACGUCCGAUUAGCUAGUUGGUGGGGUAAGGGCCCACCAAGGCGACGAUCGGUAGCUGGUCUGAGAGGAUGAUCCGCCACACUGGAACUGAGACACGGUCCAGACUCCUACGGGAGGCAGCAGUGGGGGAAUUUUGGACAAUGGGGGGCAACCCUGAUCCAGCCAUGCCGCGUGAGUGAAGAAGGCCU
rnacentral:rRNA from 1 species